rnacentral:rRNA from 1 species
GCAGCAUUUUAGUUUGCUUGCAAACUAAAGAUGGCGACCGGCGCACGGGUGAGUAACACGUAUCCAACCUGCCGAUAACUCGGGGAUAGCCUUUCGAAAGAAAGAUUAAUAUCCGAUGGUAUAUUAAAACCGCAUGGUUUUACUAUUAAAGAAUUUCGGUUAUCGAUGGGGAUGCGUUCCAUUAGUUUGCUGGCGGGGUAACGGCCCACCAAGACUACGAUGGAUAGGGGUUCUGAGAGGAAGGUCCCCCACAUUGGAACUGAGACACGGUCCAAACUCCUACGGGAGGCAGCAGUGAGGAAUAUUGGUCAAUGGACGCGAGUCUGAACCAGCCAAGUAGCGUGAAGGAUGACUGCCCUAUGGGUUGUAAACUUCUUUUAUAUGGGAAUAAAGUGGUCCACGUGUGGAUUUUUGUAUGUACCAUAUGAAUAAGGAUCGGCUAACUCCGUGCCAGCAGCCGCGGUAAUACGGAGGAUCCGAGCGUUAUCCGGAUUUAUUGGGUUUAAAGGGAGCGUAGGCGGAUUGUUAAGUCAGUUGUGAAAGUUUGCGGCUCAACCGUAAAAUUGCAGUUGAUACUGGCAGUCUUGAGUGCAGUAGAGGUGGGCGGAAUUCGUGGUGUAGCGGUGAAAUGCUUAGAUAUCACGAAGAACUCCGAUUG